rnacentral:rRNA from 1 species
CCUGGGGAGUACGAUCGCAAGAUUUAAACUCCAAAGGAAUUGACGGGGCCCCCGCACAAGCAACGGAGCAUGCGGCUUAAUUCGACGCAACGCGAAGAACCUUACCAAGGCUUGACAUAUACAGGAAUAUGGCAGAGAUGUCAUAGCCGCAAGGUCUGUAUACAGGUGGUGCAUGGUUGUCGUCAGCUCGUGUCGUGAGAUGUUGGGUUAAGUCCCGCAACGAGCGCAACCCUCGUUCUGUGUUGCCAGCGUUUAGUUGGGGACUCACAGGAGACUGCCGGGGUUAACUCGGAGGAAGGUGGGGAUGACGUCAAAUCAUCAUGCCCCUUAUGUCUUGGGCUGCACGCAUGCUACAAUGGCUGGUACAAACGGCUGCAAUACCGCAAGGUGGAGCGAAUCCGAGAAAGCCAGUCUCCGUUCGGAUUGGGGUCUGCAACUCGACCCCAUGAAGUCGGAGUUGCUAGUAAUCGUAGAUCAGCAACGCUACGGUGAAUACGUUCCCGGGGCUUGUACACACCGCCCGUCACGUCACGAAAGUCGGUAACACCCGAAGUCAGUG